AGAUGGCGACCGGCGCACGGGUGAGUAACGCGUAUCCAACCUGCCGAUAACUCGGGGAUAGCCUUCCGAAAGGAAGAUUAAUACCCGAUGGUAUAAUCAGACCGCAUGGUCUUGUUAUUAAAGAAUUUCGGUUAUCGAUGGGGAUGCGUUCCAUUAGGCAGUUGGUGAGGUAACGGCUCACCAAACCUUCGAUGGAUAGGGGUUCUGAGAGGAAGGUCCCCCACAUUGGAACUGAGACACGGUCCAA
rnacentral:rRNA from 1 species